GCCCCUAGCGGCGGUGCCGCGCAGCCAGUCUCGGUCUCGCGAAAUUGAGCGAGAUUACGGAAGCCGGAAGGAUUGGUCAAGGUUUUCCGGAGCUAAGGGCCAACUACGGCUCUGAGGCCCUGGAUAUAUAAAGAUGAAAAAAACACCUGGUUCCUGUGUGGCACACAGUUCAAUAGAGGAGUAGAUGUAAGAAGCAGCAAAUAUGGCAUAGUGGAAAGAAAGAGCCCAGGAAAUAGUUGAGAAAGAAAGACUGAACAGACUUACAGUCUCUUAGUCUGGGUGAGAUGAACCACCCACAUGAGAGAAGAUCAGAAGAGGAUGAAGAUCAGAAGAGGAUGCUGCCAAACCUCAAUGGAUUAUCAGCACAGCAGUGAAACAUGAUAUUGCAAGGAUACCAGUUUCCAAAAAUGAGACUAAUUAAAAUAUAAAGUGGACAGCCCUUUUACCUGGAUGUCAUAGUGGCAUAUUUAAGUCCCCCAGCUCAACAACAACCAGGGAGGGGGAAGAGGACAAAGGGAAUGCAAAUAAAAAUGAAUUUUCAUUUUGGUACAUCUCAAUUUGUUUCUUGUUAAACAGGCUAAAAGAAAAUGAUUUUCUGCUCCCUAACUGCUUUUCUAAUCAUCUAGCUUUAGAUUUGUUCCUGGAUAAUUUUAAGAUGUGCUCAUUUCUGUAGAGAAAUAAACAUGAAGCCAGCCUAAAAACCUGUGAGAAGCUAAUGUGCUUUGUGUAGGUAAGCAAUUUAAAAACUAAAGUGUAGGUACAUUAUUGAGAGGAAAGGUAAAAAAGCACAGUAGACAGCCAAAAAUAGAUGGUUUUCUGUAUCAUUUUAGAGAUGUGAUGAUUGAGUAUUUGCAUUCUUUGUCUAAUCAGCAUAUACACAGCUGCACUAAAAAAAAAAAUCAGUCCAUUUACCCUAUAAAUGUGAUCUGAGAGAACUGAAUUUGGUGUCUACCUGGUUAAAGCUUUUCUUCCUUUAACAGGAUGAUUUAAGGGGAAUAUAAUAGUCCCUUGCCACUCACCUGUAAAAUUUACUGUGAAUUUAAAGUUCACAUAGUGUCUCUGGAUAAAAUAUAGAAGCUCUACUCACAUUACCUCAUCGUCCUAUAACUUCUCUGGGACACAGUCUUUCAUUUCUUCAAGAUUUGAUUUUAAAAUGUUAUCUAGGGAGUUCUCAGUGGGUUAAGGAUCCAGGGUCAUCACUGCAGUGGCUUUGGUUCAGUUCCUUGCCCAGGAACUUCCACAUGCCAUAGGUACAGCCAAAAAAAAAAAAAAAAAAAGUGCUAUCUAGUUUUACAGCACUUGAACUUUGUGGGUUCUUAGUUCCUAAAAUAGUCCUGUCCUUUCCAGCUUUAAAUUUCUGUGACAGUGUGAUGCAUGUUUGAAAAUAAAGAUACUUCCUUUUCAGAGAAAAGUACCCCAAAGUAUAAUUUCAUCAUUAUUAGCAUUAAGUUAUUUUUUUACUGGCAUUUUAAAAAUUAAAGUAUAGUUGAUUUACAAUGCUCUGUCAAUUUCUGCUGUA